AUUGAACGCUGGCGGAAUGCUUUACACAUGCAAGUCGAACGGCAGCACGGGGCAACCUGGUGGCGAGUGGCGAACGGGUGAGUAAUACAUCGGAACGUGCCCAAUCGUGGGGAUAACGUAGCGAAAGUUACGCUAAUACCGCAUACGAUCUACGGAUGAAAGCGGGGGAUCGCAAGACCUCGCGCGAAUGGAGCGGCCGAUGUCGGAUUAGGUAGUUGGUGGGGUAAAGGGCUCACCAAGCCGACGAUCUGUAGCUGGUCUGAGAGGACGACCAGCCACACUGUGACUGAGACA
rnacentral:rRNA from 1 species